UUGCACUUGGAAAACCAUGAAAAGGGUGACUAACAUAAUAUUUUGUUCCAGGUGGGAAUAAAAAGCAACUGCUUUCCUGGUCCUUUACAGUCUAGUUAAGCAUUUGACUGGCAGAAUGUUGGCACCAGCCCUGGAAGAGCUGAUCAGCCUCAACUCCAAUUAUUUUUGCAUAGCUGAUAGCCUGCCAGAAAGUGCAAAUGGACUCAGGGUGGACCGCACAAAACAG
rnacentral:lncRNA from 1 species